CGUCUAUAUACGUAUAGCAUAUCAAUAAGCGGAGGAAAAGAAACUAACUAGGAUUCCCUCAGUAACGGCGAGUGAAGCGGGAAGAGCUCAAAUUUGAAAUCUUCAAGGUUUUACCUUAACGAAUUGUAGUUUAAAGAAGUGUUUUCUGUUGGAGUUUUGGUAAAAGUUCUUUGGAAAAGGACAUCAUAGAGGGUGAGAAUCCCGUAUUUGACCAUUAUCUCCAGCUUUGUGAUACACUUUCAAAGAGUCGGAUUGUUUGGGAAUGCAGUCCAAAAUGGGUGGUAAAUUUCAUCUAAAGCUAAAUACUGGCGAGAGACCGAUAGCGAACAAGUACCGUGAGGGAAAGAUGAAAAGAACUUGAAAAGAGAGUUAAACAGUACGUGAAAUUGUCAAAAGGGAAGCGUUUGACACCAGUGUUGUUUUCUCGAAAAUCAAUUAAAAAAGGCCGGAUUUUGUGUUGUAUUGACUUUAUCAGCUUUCUGCACUUUUCUCUUGUCUUUUUUAAUGCACUUUUCGUUUAACAAGUCAACAUCAAUUUCUUUUGUUGUAAAAGGAGUAAGUCGGAAGGUGGCUUUAACUCUUCGGAUAAGUGUUUAUAGCCCUAUACUCCUACAAUCGGAGAGAUUGAGGUCUGCAGCGUAGAUCCUUCGGGGUUAGAUACACUUGUGCUAAGUUGUAGCUUUUCAUAGACAACUUGUUGACUAUGUUUAGUCUUGUAGCUUACUCGCUGACGCUAUUUUACCUACGCUUAGGAUGUUGACUGAUAUGUAGUCGUA
rnacentral:rRNA from 1 species